rnacentral:rRNA from 1 species
UGGGGAAUAUUGGACAAUGCGGGAAACCGUGAUCCAGCAAUGCCGCGUGAGUGAUGAAGGCCUUAGGGUUGUAAAGCUCUUUUACCAGGGAUGAUAAUGACAGUACCUGGAGAAUAAGCUCCGGCUAUGUCGGUGCCAGCAGCCGCGGUAAUACGGAGGGAGCUAGCGUUGUUCGGAAUUACUGGGCGUAAAGCGGGCGUAGGCGGCUAUUCAAGUCAGGGGUGAAAUGCCGGGGCUCAACCCCGGAACUGCCCUUGAAACUAGGUAGCUAGAAUACUGGAGAGGUGAGUGGAAUUCCGAGUGUAGAGGUGAAAUUCGUUGAUAUUCGGAAGAACACCAGUGGCGAAGGCGACUCACUGGACAGUUAUUGACGCUGAGGUGCGAAAGCGUGGGGAGCAAACAGGAUUAGAUACCCCUGUAGUAC